rnacentral:rRNA from 1 species
AUUGAACGCUGGCGGCAGGCCUAACACAUGCAAGUCGAACGCGUGGCGGACGGGUGAGUAAUGUCUGGGAAAAUGCCCGAUGGAGGGGGGUAACUACUGGAAACGGUAGCUAAUACCGCAUACCAUCGGAUGUGCCCAGAGGGGUUUAGCUAGUAGGUGGGGUAACGGCUCUCCUAGGCGACGAUCCCUAGCUGGUCUGACAGGAUGACCAGCCACACUGUAACUUAGACACGGUCCAGACUCCUACGUGAGGCAGCAGUGGGGAAUAUUGCACAAUGGGCGCAAGCCUGAUGCAGCCAUGCCGCGUGUAUGAAGAAGGCCUUCGGGUUGUAAAGUACUUUCAGCGAGGAGGCGUUACUCGCAGAAGAAGCACCGGCUAACUCCGUGCCAGCAGCAGCGGUAAUUC